rnacentral:rRNA from 1 species
AUGCACGGACGAAAUCAUCGGAUCGGAAGGAUUUGGGAGAGGGGAUUGAGAGGGGAAGUGCAGAUGGCCGCCGCCCUGUUUUCUGUAACUGCCAAUGGGGAGGGUGCAGCGCCUAGCUCGGAGGCGUUGCACUGCUGGGUGCGGGCCCGUGGGCUGCCACGGUGGACAGAGGUGCAACGCCCCGGAGCUAGGCGCUGCACCGUUAAAAUUGUCAAAUUUGCCAAGGUGCAACAGUUCCUGUGGCGUCUGGCUCACAAUAGCGUGCCUGUCAAAUCGAACAUCAGUCGUAAAGGGAUUGAAUGUGAUACUCUCUGUUUGUGCUGCCGGAGACUGGAUGAAGACGGGUGCCAUUUAUUCAUAAGAUGCAAGGAGGUGAAGAAACUCCGAAGAGAAAUGCAGCUGGAAGAUGUUCGACUACGGCUUUGUGCCUGUGCAAAUGCCAGGCAAGUGGUACAGCAGAUUAUCACACUUCGUGAACAAGACCAAGUGCUAGUGGCAUGCAUGCUAUGGAAAUGGUGGAACCAAAGGAAUAAAUUAAACAAAGGGGAGAAGAUCUGCCCGGUGGAGAACACGGCUGCUCAAGUGAGAUCCUGGGCUUUGGAACACCUGCAGCUCAAAAUGAAUUCAGUGACGGAACGGACCGCCAGGCCGGCAUGCAGAUGGACAAAGCCUGAUGGGGACCAAUUGAAAAUCAAUGUCGAUGGGGCGUUCCAUAAUACUGCAGGGUCCGGAGGAUGGGGAUUUGUAAUCCGUGAUAAUACUGGAGAUGCAGUCGGGGCGGGGGCAAGAAAGAUUCAACAUGCAGUCAGUGCAAUCCAGACUGAAGCGGAGGCAUGCCUUCAGGCGCUGUCGGCUGCUGCAGUAUGGGGAAUCUCCAACAUAGUGGUGGAAUCGGAUUGCCAAACCCUCCUGCACGCAGUACAGAGCUCCGAGUAUGAUUGGGCCCCGGAAGACUGUAAUAAAAUCGCCCACGCCUUUGCUGCGUUGGGUAGCAAUGGCAAGGAGCCCCAACGGCUGUGGUUGGAGGCAGUGCCGGAUGAUUGGCGAAAUUAUGGCGAUGGAGCCCAACCGUCUCCCUCCCCAUCAGGGGCGGAUCUGGGCCCCAGGCCCCCAGGGCCUAGGCCCGGGGGGUGGUUUUUUUUUUGUUAUUACCUAGCCAUUGGGCCCGGGGCUUACCCAAAAACACAGCCAGGGCCCAGGCUAUUGAUCUUCACACUCGCGCGCAGGGCACACGACGCAGCCCAGCUCGCCCCCGAAGCGCAGACGUCACGCCCCGACUCCCCGUCCCCUGCUCGCCUGCGCCCUCCGCCGCUCGUGACGGCCGCCGAUGAAUCCGCCGCUCGCCCGUGCCCUCCGGCCUACGCUGCUCGUGACGACCGCUGGUGA